UUGAACGCUGGCGGCAGGCCUAACACAUGCAAGUCGAGCGGAUGAAGGGAGCUUGCUCCUGGAUUCAGCGGCGGACGGGUGAGUAAUGCCUAGGAAUCUGCCUGGUAGUGGGGGAUAACGUCCGGAAACGGGCGCUAAUACCGCAUACGUCCUGAGGGAGAAAGUGGGGGAUCUUCGGACCUCACGCUAUCAGAUGAGCCUAGGUCGGAUUAGCUAGUUGGUGGGGUAAAGGCCUACCAAGGCGACGAUCCGAAACUGGUCUGAGAGGAUGAUCAGUCACACUGGAACUGAGACACGGUCCAGACUCCUACGGGAGGCAGCAGUGGGGAAUAUUGGACAAUGGGCGAAAGCCUGAUCCAGCCAUGCCGCGUGUGUGAAGAAGGUCUUCGGAUUGUAAAGCACUUUAAGUUGGGAGGAAGGGCAGUAAGUUAAUACCUUGCUGUUUUGACGUUACCAACAGAAUAAGCACCGGCUAACUUCGUG
rnacentral:rRNA from 1 species